rnacentral:rRNA from 1 species
AACGAACGCUGGCGGCAUGCCUAACACAUGCAAGUCGAACGAGACCUUCGGGUCUAGUGGCGCACGGGUGCGUAACGCGUGGGAACCUGCCCUUAGGUUCGGAAUAACUCCCCGAAAGGGGUGCUAAUACCGGAUAAUGUCUUCGGACCAAAGAUUUAUCGCCUUUGGAUGGGCCCGCGUUGGAUUAGCUAGUUGGUAGGGUAAAAGCCUACCAAGGCGACGAUCCAUAGCUGGUCUGAGAGGAUGAUCAGCCACACUGGGACUGAGACACGGCCCAGACUCCUACGGGACGCAGCAGUAGCGAAUAUUGGACAAUGAGCGAGAGGCUCAUCAAGCAAUGCCGCGUGAGUGAUGAAGGCCUUAGGGUUGUAAAGCUCUUUUACCCGGGAUGAUAAUGACAGUACCGGGAGAAUAAGCUCCGGCUAAUUCCGUG